rnacentral:rRNA from 1 species
GUGAGGAAUAUUGGUCAAUGGGCGGGAGCCUGAACCAGCCAAGUCGCGUGAAGGAAGAAGGAUCUAUGGCUCGUAAACUUCUUUUGCAGGGGAAUAAAGUGCAGGACGUGUCCUGUUUUGUAUGUACCCUGAGAAUAAGGAUCGGCUAACUCCGUGCCAGCAGCCGCGGUAAUACGGAGGAUCCGAGCGUUAUCCGGAUUUAUUGGGUUUAAAGGGUGCGUAGGUGGUUUGAUAAGUCAGCGGUGAAAGUUUGCAGCUUAACUGUAAAAAUGCCGUUGAAACUGUCGGACUUGAGUGUAAAUGAGGUAGGCGGAAUGCGUGGUGUAGCGGUGAAAUGCAUAGAUAUCACGCAGAACUCCGAUUGCGAAGGCAGCUUACUAAGCUACAACUGACACUGAAGCACGAAAGCGUGGGGAUCAAACAGGAUUAGAUACCCGUGUAGUCC